CUUACAAUUGCGAUGGGGGGACGGAGAAGGCUAGGUGGGCCUGGCGACGGUUGUCCAGGUUCAAGUGCGUAGGCUUAAGAGUUAGGUAAAUCCGGCUCUUUCUAAGGCUGAGACACGACGUCGAGCACCUACGGGUGUGAAGUCAUUGAUGCCAUGCUUCCAGGAAAAGCCUCUAAGCUUCAGAUUGUAAGGAAUCGUACCCCAAACCGACACAGGUGGUCGGGUAGAG
rnacentral:rRNA from 1 species